UCCGAGAUGGUGUAACUGGUAGCACCUAUGACUCUGGAUCAUAUUGCCUAGGUUCGAAUCCUAGUCUCGGAG
rnacentral:tRNA from 1 species